GUACAGCUGACACAUCCUCCAGCAGCUGGACUGCCCGUGCAACUUCACAAGGCUGGAGCCCAGAUGAGCAGACCACAAAUGACACCACGCGAAAUUGUCUCAGUGGCUGAGACUCGCCUCAAACGACUCCCUCAAGAUGUGUGGAGCCAUGGAAGGAGCUGGCAGCCGAUUCUUCCCUCCACUCCAUCAUACCAUCAACACCGACAGAUAUCAUGCCAGAGGUUAACUUGACCCUAAGAGGCCAUCACCGGAAGAAAGCAUAUCCACGUUACACGAACACGCAUUUCCCGCAGUAAGAGGAGAAAAUAGUAAUGGAGAUCAAGAGAGUCCGAAUCCACGCUCCAUCUUGUGAUGACAUUAUCCAUGGUGCCACGGUUCCUACAAGGUUUAGCCGGCAAGAGAACCUUUCAAGUUCUCACCCUAAAAAGACGCCAUUUCAGCACUUCGGGACGAUGCACCAGUCUCCUUUAGUUCAUUGCAAUAAGGGACUGGAAUGCUUCCUUGACUACCCACCAUAUCAUUACAGGUCCUCAGAUC